rnacentral:rRNA from 1 species
UACGGAGGGUGCAAGCGUUGUUCGGAAUUAUUGGGCGUAAAGGGCAGGUAGGUGGUCUUAUAAGUCUGCUGUGAAAUCCCCGAGCUUAACUUGGGAAGUGCGGCAGAUACUGUAGGACUAGAGUACUGGAGGGGUUCGUGGAAUUCCCGGUGUAGCGGUGAAAUGCGUAGAUAUCUGGAGGAACACCGGUGGCGAAAGCGCUCAUCUGGCCCAAUACUGACGCUGAGGCGCGAAAGCUAGGGGAGCAAACGGG